rnacentral:rRNA from 1 species
GUUGGGAGUCUUCUAUAUCUAGUUGUCACUCGUCCGGAUAUCUCUUAUCUGGUUCAUAUUCUGAGUCAGUUUGUCUCUGCUCCAACUUUGCUUCACUAUAGUCACCUCCUUCGUGUUCUUCGAUAUCUUCGGGGCACGAUCUCUCAUCGUCUAUUCUUUCCUCGCUCUAGUUCUUUACAGCUUCCGGCCUAUCCGGAUGCUACAUGGGCUAGUGAUCCCUCUGAUCGCCGCUCACUUUCUACUUACUGUGUUUUUAUUGGUGGUUCUCUCAUUGCCUGGAAGACGAAGAAACAGACUGCAGUUUCCCGUUCGAGUGCAGAGGCUGAGUUACGAGCUAUGGCUCUUUUGACGAUAGAGGUGACUUGGUUACGAUGGUUACUUCAGGAUUUUGGUGUUUCUGUUACUACACCUACUCCGCUCUUGUCUGACAGUACAAGUGCUAUU